UACAGAGGUCUCAACCGUUGUUCGGAUUCAUUGGGCGUAAAGGGUGCGUAGGCGGUCGCGCAAGUCGGAUGUGAAAUCUUGGGGCUCAACCCCGAAACUGCAUUCGAUACUGCGUGGCUCGAGUACUGGAGAGGAGACUGGAAUUUACGGUGUAGCAGUGAAAUGCGUAGAUAUCGUAAGGAAGACCAGUGGCGAAGGCGGGUCUCUGGACAGUUCCUGACGCUGAGGCGCGAAAGCGUGGGGAGCAAACAGG
rnacentral:rRNA from 1 species